AGUGAACGCUGGCGGUAGGCCUAACACAUGCAAGUCGAACGGCAGCACAGGAGAGCUUGCUCUCUGGGUGGCGAGUGGCGGACAGGUGAGGAAUACAUCGGAAUCUACUCUGUCGUGGGGGAUAACGUAGGGAAACUUACGCUAAUACCGCAUACGACCUACGGGUGAAAGCAGGGGAUCUUCGGACCUUGCGCGAUUGACUGAGCCGAUGUCGGAUUAGCUAGUUGGCGGGGUAAAGGCCCACCAAGGCGACGAUCCGUAGCUAGUCUGAGAGGGUGAUCAGCCCCACUGGAACUGAGACACGGUCCAGACUCCUACGGGAGGCAGCAGUGGGGAAUAUUGGACAAUGGGCGCAAGCCUGAUCCAGCCAUACCGCGUGGGUGAAGAAGGCCUUCGGGUUGUAAAGCCCUUUUGUUGGGAAAGAAAUCCAGCUGGCUAAUACCCGGUUGGGAUGACGGUACCCAAAGAAUAAGCACCGGCUAACUUCGUGCCAGCAGCCGCCGUAA
rnacentral:rRNA from 1 species